rnacentral:rRNA from 1 species
AUUGAACGCUGGCGGCAGGCCUAACACAUGCAAGUCGAGCGGCAGCGGGAGGUGCUUGCACCUCGCCGGCGAGCGGCGGACGGGUGAGUAAUGCAUAGGAAUCUGCCCGGUAGUGGGGGAUAACCUGGGGAAACCCAGGCUAAUACCGCAUACGUCCUACGGGGAGAAAGCAGGGGAUCUUCGGACCUUGCGCUAUCGGAUGAGCCUAUGCCGGAUUAGCUGGUUGGUAGGGUAAUGGCCUACCAAGGCGACGAUCCGUAGCUGGUCUGAGAGGAUGAUCAGCCACACUGGGACUGAGACACGGCCCCAGACUCCUACGGGAGGCAGCAGUGGGGAAUAUUGACAAUGGCGCAAGCCUGAUCCAGCCAUGCCGCGUGUGUGAAGAAGGCCUUCGGGUUGUAAAGCACUUUCAGUGGGGAAGAAGGCCUGUCGGCUAAUACCCGGCAGGAACGACAUCACCCACAGAAGAAGCACCGGCUAACUCCGUGCCAGCAGCCGCGGUAAUACGGA